rnacentral:rRNA from 1 species
GGCAAAAGCUCAAAUUUGAAAUCUGGUACCUUUGGUGCCCGAGUUGUAAUUUGGAGAGUACCACUUUGGGACUGUACUUUGCCUAUGUUCCUUGGAACAGGACGUCAUGGAGGGUGAGAAUCCCGUGUGGCGAGGGUGUCAGUUCUUUGUAAAGGGUGCUCGAAGAGUCGAGUUGUUUGGGAAUGCAGCUCUAAGUGGGUGGUAAAUUCCAUCUAAAGCUAAAUACAGGCGAGAGACCGAUAGCGAACAAGUACAGUGAUGGAAAGAUGAAAAGAACUUUGAAAAGAGAGUGAAAAAGUACGUGAAAUUGUUGAAAGGGAAGGGCAUUUGAUCAGACAUGGUGUUUUGCGCCCCUUGCCUCUCGUGGGCUUGGGACUCUCGCAGCUCACUGGGCCAGCAUCGGUUUUGGCGGCCGGAAAAAACCUAGGGAAUGUGGCUCUGCGCCUCGGUGUAAAGUGUUAUAGCCCUGGGGAAUACGGCCAGCCGGGACCGAGGACUGCGAUACUUGUUAUCUAGGAUGCUGGCAUAAUGGUUAUAUGCCGCCCGUCUUGAA